UUCCCGCCUGGGGAGUACGGUCGCAGAUUAAAACUCAAAGGAAUUGACGGGGGCCCACAAGCGGUGGAGCAUGUGGUUUAAUUGAAGCAACGCGCAGAACCUUACCAGCCCUUGACAUCCCGGUCGCGGUUACCAGAGAUGGUUUCUUCAGUUCGGCUGGACCGGAGACAGUGCUGCAUGGCUGUCGUCAGCUCGUGUCGUGAGAUGUUGGGUUAAGUCCCGCAACGAGCGCAACCCUCGCCCUUAGUUGCCAUCAUUCAGUUGGGCACUCUAAGGGGACUGCCGGUGAUAAGCCGAGAGGAAGGUGGGGAUGACGUCAAGUCCUCAUGGCCCUUACGGGCUGGGCUACACACGUGCUACAAUGGCGGUGACAGUGGGCAGCGACCUCGCGAGAGGUAGCUAAUCCCAAAAAGCCGUGUCAGUUCGGAUUGUAUCUGCACUCGAGUGCAGAAGUCUGAUUCGCUAUGGAGUGUCUGAAUUUCAUAAAU
rnacentral:rRNA from 1 species